GACGUCCUAGGGAAGAACUCACUACCUCUUACCGGUAAGGCACCCUUGUCGCCAGUCCAAGAAGCAGAUCUAGGUGGGGAUGGCGAUGGCGUGCUGUGAUGGCUGACUCCACCUCCCGAUCGGAAGAACUCGCUAUCGGUAAAGGCUCUGUACCCGCCUAGGAAGCAGAUCUAGGCGGGGAUAGCGAUGUCGGGUUGUGACUCAGUCGUGUUGCUUUGUUCUAGAUCAGGAACUCGCUACCAGUAAAGCACCUUUGUGGCCCACCCAAGAAGCAGAUCUAGGCGGGGAUGGCGAUGGCGUGCUGAGGGUUGAAUCCAGCUCCCAGUUAGUUUCCCAUCUCCUCUAUUUUACUACUCAAGUCUCUAGACUAGAUCUCAACCUAGUUGUUCUCUCUUUUUUUGGCUACUCCUUCCUCUAAUCUGACUCAGUCUUGGUGCUUUGUUCUAGAUCAAGGUAUCGGCUAUUCUUCCUCUAAUCGACUCGGGUCUUAUUGCUUUGAUCUAGAUCAAGGUAUCUAUUUUACUACUCUAGAUCUCGAUCUAGCUGUUACCUUUUAUUUGCUACUCCUUCCUCUAAUCGACUCGGUCUUGUUGCUUUGUUCUAGAUCAAGGUAUCGGCUAUUACUCCUCUAAUUGACUCGGUCUUAUUGCUAUGUUCUAGAUAAAGGUAUCUGUUUACUACUCUAGAUCUCGAUCUAGUUGUUCUCUUUGAUUUGCUAAUCCUUUCUCUAAUUGAUUUGGUCUUAUUGCUUUAUCCAGAUCAGAAGAACUCGCUACCGGUAAAGCACCUUUGUGGCCCACCCAAGAAUCAGAUCUAGGAUGGCGUGCUGUGAUGGCUGAAUCCACCUCCCGGUGAGCUGGAAUUGGUCCUACUAGCCAGAUGGCAACUAAGGCUUCCGAUAAAGAACGUGCUCCUCCUUGCUAGAUCCCCCACCUUUGUCAUGUCUGUCCUUCUCCACCACCAGAUCCAUCGAGGUCCGGGCAACAUUAAGCACCUCCUCCUUGGAUCAGAUAAUUCAAGUCAUCGUCAUCACUCGCUCUGGUAGCGAAAGAGUUGGGAGUGGCAGGCGCCAUGGAUGGAGGCUCUGGUGCUAUUGGCCUAGACAGGGGCUUUGUUUGCCAUCGACGUCUACCGAUGUGCCGUCCGUUUGACGUUUCAAGCAUUGUUCACCGUCGGAGUCCGCCGACGUGUUGUUCUUUCAUCGUUCCUACCAAGGUUCAUGUUCGCAUGCUUAUUUUUCUUCAUGUUAGCCGUUCUCAUCUAAUCACAUAUCACCAGAACUUUUCCUUUUUGCGGUGUCUGUACUUGUUUCUGUUACUUGGCUAUUGUUCGAGGUAAGUUCUUUCCUACGAUGCUCCUGCUGCCUUCUCUUUCUUUCUGCAGGAUUUGUUAUGUCUGGUUUGCUUUCUGCCUCUUCUCGUCACUUGUCAUCUUUUUUCUUUCAUUGUCUUGGUUUUAGGUCCUUUUAGCAGUUGGUGUUUGUCCAUUGUGCAUCUUCUUGUUUCGGCGUUCUUAUGUACUUUUGUUUUGGUUGGGUGUUGGCUAUUUGCAUGUACUUUUUCUUGUUCUUGUUGUUCAUGUUUUUGACAAGCUCGUUCUAUAUGCACUGUGUCGGGUUAUUGUUUAGUGCCCUUUUUUGCACUGCUUGUUCUUUGCAUGAACGGAUGGUAUUAAAUAACUUUCAAGUUUGUGGUCAAGGGCCCUGCCUUCUCAGAAUCUUCAUUCAAGAGUGAUUGAAGAGGUUUUGAAGAAAUUAUCCAGGCCGAGGAAUACCAAACACGACUUCGUAAACGCCAUCAUGGCUCUUUUUGGAUGGCGACGACGAGCCGACAGAGGAUUUAGGGCACGCAAGUGCGGGGGCAUGCACUUUGUGGGCCGUUGAUCUGCGCCAAGAUUCGCACAUAUGUUUGUGUAUAUACUCUUUUUGUG